rnacentral:ncRNA from 5 species
UAGCAGCACAUAAUGGUUUGUU